UGGCGCACGGGUGAGUAACGCGUGGAUAAUCUGCCUUAGAGUGGGGGAUAACUAGUCGAAAGAUUAGCUAAUACCGCAUAAGACCACAAGAGCUGCGGCUCAAGGGGUCAAAGGUUUUUCGCUCUAAGAUGAGUCCGCGUAAGAUUAGCUAGUUGGUGAGGUAAUGGCUCACCAAGGCGACGAUCUUUAACUGGUCUGAGAGGAUGAUCAGUCACACUGGAACUGAGACACGGUCCAGACUCCUACGGGAGGCAGCAGUAGGGAAUAUUGCACAAUGGAGGAAACUCUGAUGCAGCGACGCCGCGUGAGUGAUGAAGGCCUUCGGGUCGUAAAGCUCUGUCGCAGGGGAAUAACACAAUGAAUGUACCCUGUAAGAAAGGAUCGGCUAACUUCGUGCCAGCAGCCGCGGUAAGACGAGGGAUCCUAGCGUUGUUCGGAAUCAUUGGGCGUAAAGCGGAUGUAGGUGGCUUUGUAAGUCAGGUGUGAAAGCCUGGGGCUCAACCCCNGAAGUGCAUUUGAUACUGCGAAGCUUGAGUGUCGGAGAGGUUACUAGAAUUGUUGGUGUAGUGGUGAAAUACGUAGAUAUCAACAGGAAUACCGGAGGCGAAGGCGGGUAACUGGCCGAACACUGACACUGAGAUCCGAAAGCGUGGGGAUCAAACAGGAUUAGAUACCCUGGUAGUCCACGCCGUAAACGAUGGAUACUUGUUGUUGGAGGUAUUGACCCCUUCAGUGACG
rnacentral:rRNA from 1 species